rnacentral:tRNA from 1 species
GGUGGCUCAAUGGUAGAGCGUUUGAUUCAGUUACCAGAGGUCGUGGGUUUGAAUCCCAUGUCAUCCA